GAGUGGUUACAUGUGACACCCGAGGGCGAGGGAGUGGUUGUUUAUGCAUGAGGCAUGACAAUGAGACACUCCUAGCAGCUUCUAGGGGAAAAACCGAAUUCACAUCGGAAUGAGAGGGAUCCUGAGGCUAUGCAGGUAUGAGACUGCAUGGUUGAAUGAAGGCUUAUAAGGAUUAAUUGGUACUACCUAUACCAACAAGAUGCAUCUUCUUUUCGGUAGCCCAAUAGAUAAGAACUCCAUAGUUAAGCGUGCUUGACUUGGAGUAGUAUUGGGAUGGGUGACCUUCUGGGAAGUUUCCCGGAAAGUGUGUGAGUGAGGACAAAACAUGCCGAAAAGACCCGU